GUAUCACACUUUUACGAUCGUCCAAUUAGAAUCUACACGAGUAAAACACAAGUCGAAUCGAUCUAAGUGAACAUAACCUCUCCACGUCCUAUUAUUAUCUUCUAUAAGAUUUGUAUCAACAACGAAGAAACUUAUUCCAGUGUGUAAAGGAAAAAAAAAAAAGAGACUAAAUUUAGUGUCGACUCGUGAGAGAGGAGGGGGGGAACGAUGAUAAAAAAAUCGAGUUCGGAUUGAUGCGAAGAGUAAGAGGCGGGAAGAGGCGAAAAUAAAUAAUCCAAACAGGACUACGUACGCUUCUUUUAUCGUGUUCACAACGCCCACGAGUUUCCAAUGACGUCACUCACCAACACACCGACGAAAUAAUCCCGGUAAUUUGCCACGGUUAAACGCGGUACAUCCAUGUUUUCCAAUGGACAAUUAAACGGAGGAGAAUUCACAGUUAAUUUCGAAACUUUUGCUCGGCCGAUUUGGUAGAGAGGAGCGGUUUCUCAUCGAUUCGUGAUCGAAUUGUUUGUACAGUAGCAUGGAUAGCAGUAAUAAAUACAAGCAAAAUUCAGAAAAAAUGGAGAAAAUACAUCUUCGAAUGUGAAUUUUAAAAUUAAAUUCACGAGACUUAUUUUUCACGAGAGAUUUAAUUAUCAUUGGCAAAGUUUAGAAAAAUUAGAGAUGAGGAAUAGAGAUAAAGAAAAUUAAAAAAAAGUUUUUUUGAAAUAUAUAUUGGAGCCCUUGGAUUAUUCGGCAUCUCCUGUGUACUAAAAAUAUGAGUAUAUUUUAAAGUAAAAGUAUUAAAAAUUGUUAUUGGAAAUUAUUUAAAAGGCACUUUAUGAAGAGAAUUUUCAUUGUUAUGCCAGUAUUUAUUAACAAAAAUAACUUUCGAUAGUGAUUCUCAAAUGUGAAAGAAUUUUAUUUUCAAAUGUAUUUACAUUCUUAUUCCUUACUCUGUAUCCUCUUUUGAAUCUUAUAUUUUUAUAAUUAAUUGUUCUCCAUUAGAUUUCACUUUUUGUUAUUAUAAUUGAUAAAUAUUAUAUUGAUUAUAAGUGAAUAUUUAAAAUGAAAUGAAAGUAAGUGAUAAAAAACAAAUUCGAAAAAAAACAAUUUAUAUAAUUUAAAUAUUUUCCUUGAAUCUUCAUAAUUAUAUUUUUCUAAAAUAAUGGAUCAUAUUUACGAUCGUAUAUUUAUAUAUAAAAUAACGCAUUAGAAUUCAAUCAUAUGAUUGAAAUUUCCACAAUUUUUUGAGAAUAAUUCAUUUUGCAAAAUAUAUUCAAUAAUAGCAUUUCCAUGAAAAA